rnacentral:rRNA from 1 species
AUUGAACGCUGGCGGCAGGCCUAACACAUGCAAGUCGAGCGGAUGAAGGGAGCUUGCUCCUGGAUUCAGCGGCGGACGGGUGAGUAAUGCCUAGGAAUCUGCCUGGUAGUGGGGGAUAACGUCCGGAAACGGGCGCUAAUACCGCAUACGUCCUGAGGGAGAAAGUGGGGGAUCUUCGGACCUCAAGCUAUCAGAUGAGCCUAGGUCGGAUUAGCUAGUUGGUGGGGUAAAGGCCUACCAAGGCGACGAUCCGUAACUGGCCUGAGAGGAUGAUCAGUCACACUGGAACUGAGACACGGUCCAGACUCCUACGGGAGGCAGCAGUGGGGAAUAUUGGACAAUGGGCGAAAGCCUGAUCCAGCCAUGCCGCGUGUGUGAAGAAGGUCUUCGGAUUGUAAAGCACUUUAAGUUGGGAGGAAGGGCAGUAAGUGAAUACCUUGCUGUUUUGACGUUACCAACAGAAUAAGCACCGGCUAACUUCGUG